CAGACAGAGGACCGAGAGAGAUCAGCUCCACACACCAUGAACUAUCUCCGUGUUUUGAUGUUGGUGGUGGUGGUGAUGGCCGCGGUGUGCGGGGCCAUGGCCGGCCCUCUACCUGAUCCACAAGGCGGUGUUGGUGGUCAUGGUUCCAAAGGCCGCCCACAGGGUGGCAACAGAGGUAGUAGCCUAGGCGGCGCCCAUGGCGGUCAUGGUUUCGGCACAGGACUCGGCCAAAGAGGCAGUCCUGGCAGACUCCAAGGCGGCGGCGCGCAUGGCACCAAGGGAAACAGGGGCUAAGGUGGCAGCCAUAGUGGGAAUUCCCUAUGGACUGAGGCGCCAUACUGCAUAGCAGCUGAAGGGACUAGUGAACGACACCUGCCCGAGAACAACCAUCGCCCACUGACACCUCUCCUCAAUAUCAACAUUGAAACAUCUCCAACACAUCAGCCUUACCUGGACACCACAAUAUCAAAAUAUAUUUGCUAAAAAAUGUGAUAUAUUAUGUCAAGUAAAAAAAAAAGAGGGUUCUUCCAUACUCUCUUAAUUUUUUGUGUUCAUUAUAUAAUUCGAUAAAAUAAAUAUAGCAUAAAA